CCCAUGUUAAAGAGGGACAUUUUACUAGAACUAGACAAUGGAUAAAAUUGUCACUUCAGAUUUACAGGCAUUCUGAUUACCUUAUCACAGCUGAAGCCUCCCCAUCCCAUAAGAGUUCAGAGGAGAUUUGAUCUGAAACUUGCUUAAUGCAUAGAGGAGAAAAGCAAGCUGAAACUCUGAGACACAGAUCAGUGGAGAGGAACCACGUGGAGCCCUGACGCUCAGCCUCCAAAUGCCUGUUCAGAAUCUUGCGACAUCAUACACUCCCCUUUCAACCAUGGACUAGCUUGUCCCUUUACCUUUCAGGAAGAAGAGAAAGGGCUGUCAGACAACAAGUAGCAACCUGGAGCAUUAGACAUUGGGCUGAAAGGCUCUGCCUUGCUGUGGAGGUACCAGCAGCUACUGUGGAGG